ensembl:misc_RNA Metazoa_SRP Metazoan signal recognition particle RNA
GCUGGGCAUGGUGGUGCAUGCCUGUAAUCCCAGCUACUCAGGAGGCUGAGGCAGGAGAAUCAUUUGAACCCAGGAGGCAGAGGUUGCAGUAAGAUUUUGACACUGCAUUCUAUCCUGGGCAACAGAGUGGGACUCUGUCUCAA